AACGAACGCUGGCGGCAUGCCUAACACAUGCAAGUCGAACGAGACCUUCGGGUCUAGUGGCGCACGGGUGCGUAACGCGUGGGAACCUGCCCUUAGGUUCGGAAUAACUCCCCGAAAGAGGUGCUAAUACCGGAUAAUGUCUUCGGACCAAAGAUUUAUCGCCUUUGGAUGGGCCCGCGUUGGAUUAGCUAGAUGGUAGGGUAAAAGCCUACCAAGGCGACGAUCCAUAGCUGGUCUGAGAGGAUGAUCAGCCACACUGGGACUGAGACACGGCCCAGACUCCUACGGGAGGCAGCAGUGGGGAAUAUUGGACAAUGGGCGAAAGCCUGAUCCAGCAAUGCCGCGUGAGUGAUGAAGGCCUUAGGGUUGUAAAGCUCUUUUACCCGGGAUGAUAAUGACAGUACCGGGAGAAUAAGCACCGGCUAACUCCGUG
rnacentral:rRNA from 1 species